rnacentral:rRNA from 1 species
GAAAGCCUGACGGAGCAAGACCGCGUGGGGGAAGAAGGCUCUUGGGUUGUAAACUCCUUUUCUCUGGGAAGAACAAAAUGACGGUACCAGAGGAAUCAGCAUCGGCUAACUCCGUGCCAGCAGCCGCGGUAAGACGGAGGAUGCAAGCGUUAUCCGGAAUGAUUGGGCGUAAAGCGUCCGCAGGUGGCAGUUCAAGUCUGCUGUCAAAGACCGGGGCUCAACCUCGGAAAGGCAGUGGAAACUGAACAGCUAGAGUAUGGUAGGGGCAAAGGGAAUUCCUGGUGUAGCGGUGAAAUGCGUAGAGAUCAGGAAGAACAUCGGUGGCGAAGGCGCUUUGCUGGACCAUAACUGACACUCAGGGGCGAAAGCUAG